rnacentral:tRNA from 1 species
UGGCUCAGUGGGUAAGAGCUCUUGCUAUGUAAGCAUGAAGACUUGAGUUCGAAUCUCAG